GACGAACGCUGGCGGCGUGCUUAACACAUGCAAGUCGAACGGAAAGGCCCUGCUUUUGUGGGGUGCUCGAGUGGCGAACGGGUGAGUAACACGUGAGUAACCUGCCCUUGACUUUGGGAUAACUUCAGGAAACUGGGGCUAAUACCGGAUAGGAGCUCCUGCUGCAUGGUGGGGGUUGGAAAGUUUCGGCGGUUGGGGAUGGACUCGCGGCUUAUCAGCUUGUUGGUGGGGUAGUGGCUUACCAAGGCUUUGACGGGUAGCCGGCCUGAGAGGGUGACCGGCGACAUUGGGACUAAGAUACGGCCCAGACUCCUACGGGAGGCAGCAGUGGGGAAUAUUGCACAAUGGGCGGAAGCCUGAUGCAGCAACGCCGCGUGCGGGAUGACGGCCUUCGGGUUGUAAACCGCUUUCGCCUGUGACGAAGCGUGAGUGACGGUAAUGGGUAAAGAAGCACCGGCUAACUACGUG
rnacentral:rRNA from 1 species